rnacentral:rRNA from 1 species
CCUACGGGGGGCAGCAGUGGGGAAUAUUGCGCAAUGGGCGAAAGCCUGACGCAGCGACGCCGCGUGAGGGAUGAAGGUCUUCGGAUCGUAAACCUCUGUCAGCAGGGAAGAACGGUCACUGUGCUAAUCAGCAGUGAAUUGACGGUACCUGCAAAGGAAGCACCGGCUAACUCCGUGCCAGCAGCCGCGGUAAUACGGAGGGUGCGAGCGUUAAUCGGAAUUACUGGGCGUAAAGCGCUCGUAGGCGGUAUGUCAAGUCAAGGGGGAAAUCCCCGGGCUCAACGUGGGAACUGCCUUUGAAACUGGCAAACUGGAGAGUGUGAGAGGAUAGUGGAAUUCCAGGUGUAGGAGUGAAAUCCGUAGAUAUCUGGAGGAACAUCAGUGGCGAAGGCGACUAUCUGGCACAUAACUGACGCUGAGGAGCGAAAGCGUGGGUAGCAAACAGGAUUAGAUACCCGUGUAGUC